rnacentral:rRNA from 1 species
UACGUAGGGUCCGAGCGUUGUCCGGAAUUAUUGGGCGUAAAGGGCUCGUAGGCGGUCCGUCACGUCGGGAGUGAAAACUCAGGGCUCAACCCUGAGCGUGCUUCCGAUACGGGCGGACUAGAGGUAUGCAGGGGAGAACGGAAUUCCUGGUGUAGCGGUGGAAUGCGCAGAUAUCAGGAGGAACACCGGUGGCGAAGGCGGUUCUCUGGGCCUGUACUGACGCUGAUGCGCGAAAGCGUGGGGAGCGAUCCGG